GAUGAACGCUGGCGGCGUGCUUAACACAUGCAAGUCGAACGAGAAAUGGAGACGGAAACCUUCGGGCGGAAGGCUUCAUUUCGAGUGGCGGACGGGUGAGUAACGCGUGGGUAACCUGCCUCAUACAGGGGGAUAACAGUUGGAAACGACUGUUAAUACCGCAUAAGACCACAGCACCGCAUGGUGCGGGGGUAAAAACUCCGGUGGUAUGAGAUGGACCCGCGUUCGAUUAGCCAGUUGGCGGGGUAACGGCCCACCAAAGCGACGAUCGAUAGCCGAUCUGAGAGGAUGACCGGCGACAAUGGGACUGAGACACGGCCCAAACUCCUACGGGAGGCAGCAGUGGGGAAUAUUGCACAAUGGGGUAAACACUGAUGCAGCGACGCCGCGUGAGUGAAGAAGUACUUCGGUAUGUAAAGCUCUAUCAGCAGAGAAGAAAAUGACGGUACCUGAGUAAGAAGCCCCGGCUAACUACGUG
rnacentral:rRNA from 1 species